UUUUUUUUUUUUUUUUCUUUUUUGGCUUGGAGGUCUCUCAUGGCUAUCAUUUAAUUUCUUUCUUUCUUUCUUUUUUUUUAAUCUUGUCCACAGCAUGUGAGGACGUUCCUGGGCCAGGAAUUGAACCCUUGCCACAGCAGUGACAAUGCUGUAUCCUUAACCUGCUAAGCCACCAGGGAGCUCCUCACUUAUUUUAUGCAGUAGCUGAAACUAAGAAUGUAUUUUCUAUAAUCCCUUUGUGUGUCUGAUAAAACAAAUACCUGCUUGUUGGUUGGCACAUCUCUCAAACCUCCAGGAGACUAUGAAGUGGGUAUUUCUGCAUCCCCAAGGGCCUCCCUCUCUGAACUAGAUCUCUGAGGUAACCCUUGGUGAACAGUUUGAAGCCGGACCCCAGGAUUCAUCAAGGCUAUUCAUUUCUUGAAGCUUCCUGUCUCUUCUCAAGGGUCUGCCUCAGGCCUGCCUUUGCUUCACUGGAUCAUUUCCAGGAAGCUUUCCGCAGUGUGUCGUGAGAAGCCUGAAGGCUGCUACAGCUGGGGACACACCAGCCUGCUGUGUGUGCAUUGUCUCAGGGCCUGGCUCAGCCCUCUAGGGGACCCAACCCAUCCUCUCCUGGUUUCUCAUUUACUGCGGGAAAAGUAUCUCUUUUCCGGGGGAUUUUUUUCUGUUUUUGGCUUUUCUUUUUUUAGGGCCGCUCCUGUGGCAUAUGGAGGUACCCAGGCCAGGGGUGGGAGGGGAGCUGCAGCUGCCGGCCUCCACACCACAGCCACAGCAACCUAGGAUCCAAGCUGUGUCUGGGGCCUACAACACGGCUCACGGCAAUGCCGGAUCCUCAAUCCACUGAUCGGGGCCAGGGACUGAACUCGCGUCCUCAUGGAUAGCAGUUGGGUUCAUUACUGGUGAGCCACAGUGGGAACUCCCUUUUUUCCCUUUUUUACUCAUCCUGUUUCUGCUUGGGGAGUGAGUACAGAGGUGGGUGGGAGGGAGGAAAAUCGGAAAGGAAAAUCACUUUGCUGGAAUAAGCGGAUGAGUCUUUCCACUGAGAUGAUUUCCUCAGGUGACAGGCUGUGAGGCGUAGGAGGCUGGCAGCAAGAUUCUGUGGCCACCCAAGUCAUUCUUGCAAACCAGGCACACCAGGGAUUAGCUUUCUGGCUGUCAGGGAAGGAUUUGUCAGGGUAGCUAAGUGUUUUGAUUAAUUAACUUAAAGCUGGGAUCCUGUAUAAAUGCAAAUUGUCAUACCUCCUCUCACCCACUGAGUGCCUCUCUCAGACCAAAAUGGGUAGGAGCCGAGGAAGAAGAGGUGGAGCUGGAAUCACUGCCUGGCUGUGACUCCAUCUGCAGUGGUCUCUGGGGGAGGAGGGCGACUCCGCUUGUGCAAGCGCCACUGUCACAAUCCAGCACUGCAAAACGGGACCACGUGAGGAGGAGGCUCACCCUUUGCCACCAUGUUCAGCUCCUGACCUUAACCGAAAGAGGAACACAGCGUGGCCAUCAGAAAUCUUUUAGAGGGAUG
rnacentral:lncRNA from 1 species